GCUUGUCUCAAAGAUUAAGCCAUGCAUGUCUAAGUAUAAACGACUUUAUACUGUGAAACUGCGAAUGGCUCAUUAUAUCAGUUAUAGUUUAUUUGAUGGUCCUUGCUACUUGGAUAACCGUAGUAAUUCUAGAGCUAAUACAUGCAUUAAACCCCGACUUCUGGAAGGGGUGUAUUUAUUAGACCAAGACCAAGGGUGCCUCGUGUACCUACUGGUGGUGACUCUGAAUAACUUUCUAGCUGAUCGCAUAGCCUUGCGCUGGCGACAUAUCCUUCGAGUAACUGCCUUAUCAACUUUCGAUGGUAGGUUAUUCGC
rnacentral:rRNA from 1 species